rnacentral:tRNA from 1 species
AUUUAUAUAGUAUAUAAGUAUAUUUAAUUUCCAAUUAAAAGGUUAAUUUAAAAUUAUAUAAAUA